rnacentral:lncRNA from 1 species
CUCCCUACUCAGCCGCCUUGAGGGUCCCAAGCGUCCCGGUCUCUGGCCUGGACCCACUGGGCUAAGGGCGCCCAGGCCAGCUCAGGGUGAUCCUGCAGGAGUCUCUGGAGACAAGGGCGAGCCUGUGCUCGGCUGCCAGGGACGUCCCCCCGGGAUGAGCCCCGAGCUAUCCCCGCGGCCCUGGGCCAGGCUGCCCCGCGGGGCGCUGGGACCUGACCGGGCAGGGACCUCUGAGACUCCGGAGACCUGCGCGCUUGGACAACAGGAGCCAGAAGACCCAGCAGACAUGAGUGAAAACAGCUGCCUGCACAAGUUGUCCCCUAACAGGUACAGCCAAGAGUCAGAAGCACAGAGGGAGCUGGGGAAGCGACAUUUCUUACAGAGCCCACUGCUGUCCCUGUGUGAAGUGGCUCAUAUCAGGUUUUUGUUAAUCCAGUGGGUUUGGUGGAAUUAAAGAGCUGCUGUGAAAAAAAAAAAAAACAACUCAGCAACCUGCUGGUGCCAGAACAGCCUUGUCAAGCUAGCAGGUAGCUGUGCGUUUAGCCUUUAUCCUGCACACAAUAAGGCCAAUCACCAGGGCCUGUAGAAAGAGCAUUGAACUGUCGACACAGGACAUUUCUGUUGAAAGUAGUCCUUUUGAUUUCAUCUUCCUG